CAUGGUUUGACGAUGAGAGAGGCUGGACAGAGGGUUCAGCCUAAUCUAAACCAAUUUACUGUCGCCUCUGUAAUCCUGACACUUAGACUUGAAAACAGGACUGAGAAACAAAGAGGUGGAAGGCCAAGGAUUAUCAAUGAGUCACAGGAAGCAGCAGUUACAAACUGGGUUUUGGCAAACAAUGCAUCACAGAGACAUCCGAAGCAUAGUAACUACAGUAUGUGCUGAGAUGCAUGUUGCACAAUGUGAUUUUUGAAUAAAAUGUGAUUUCUUUCAACAA